rnacentral:sRNA from 1 species
ACAUGCCCACUAUGUCUACACUCUAGAUGCAACUCGUUGCGUCGGGGCUAACCGCUACCGUACAAUGGUGAACGAGGACACGAGACAAUGUAUCAUCUAUGACUCUCCUAAGCCUGGAAGCCGUCUCGUCGACAUCGAGUAUUUUCAUUUAACCAAAGCUCUUCGAAAAGCUGCCGGAGCACGAACAAGUCCUCUGGAAAGUAGAGGGAAAGCGAAAUUGAAGGAAAAUUAUAAAUAGAAAUUUGGGGACAAUCUCGAUGAGAACUUGGA